AGUGAACGCUGGCGGUAGGCCUAACACAUGCAAGUCGAACGGCAGCACAGUAAGAGCUUGCUCUUACGGGUGGCGAGUGGCGGACGGGUGAGGAAUACAUCGGAAUCUACUUUUUCGGGGGGGAUAACGUAGGGAAACUUACGCUAAUACCGCAUACGACCUACGGGUGAAAGCAGGGGAUCUUCGGACCUUGCGCGAUUGAAUGAGCCGAUGUCGGAUUAGCUAGUUGGCGGGGUAAAGGCCCACCAAGGCGACGAUCCGUAGCUGGUCUGAGAGGAUGAUCAGCCACACUGGAACUGAGACACGGUCCUGACUCCUACGGGAGGCAGCAGUGGGGAAUAUUGGACAAUGGGCGCAAGCCUGAUCCAGCCAUACCGCGUGGGUGAAGAAGGCCUUCGGGUUGUAAAGCCCUUUUGUUGGGAAAGAACAGCAGCAGGUUAAUACCCCGCUGUUCUGACGGUACCCAAAGAAUAAGCACCGGCUAACUUCGUG
rnacentral:rRNA from 1 species